rnacentral:rRNA from 1 species
UACGAAGGGGGCGAGCGUUGUUCGGAAUCACUGGGCGUAAAGGGCGCGUAGGCGGCCCUCUUAGUCGCGUGUGAAAGCCCCGGGCUCAACCUGGGAACUGCAUUUGUGACUGCACAGCUGGAGUGCGGCAGAGGGGGAUGGAAUUCCGGCGUGUAGCAGUGAAAUGCGUAGAUAUGCGGAGGAACACCGAUGGCGAAGGCAAUCCCCUGGGCCUGCACUGACGCUCAUGCACGAAAGCGUGGGGAGCAAACAGG